rnacentral:rRNA from 1 species
AUGCAAGUCGAGCGGUAACAGGUGUAGCAAUACAUGCUGACGAGCGGCGAACGGGUGAGUAAUGUUUCGGAAUCUGCCCAAUGGUGGGGAAUAACCAGCCGAAAGGUUGGCUAAUACCGCAUAAGUCCUACGGGAGAAAGCGGGGGAUCGCAAGACCUCGCGCCGAUGGAUGAGCCGAAACCGGAUUAGCUAGUUGGUAGGGUAACGGCCUACCAAGGCGACGAUCCGUAGCUGGUCUGAGAGGACGACCAGCCACACUGGGACUGAGACACGGCCCAGACUCCUACGGGAGGCAGCAGUGGGGAAUAUUGGACAAUGGGGGAAACCCUGAUCCAGCGACGCCGCGUGUGUGAAGAAGGCCUGCGGGUUGUAAAGCACUUUUAGUGGGGAUGAAAAGCUCAGGGCUAAUACCGCUGAGUCUUGACCUAACCCAAAGAAAAAGCACCGGCUAACUCUGUGCCAGCAGCCGCGGUAAUACAGAGGGUGCAAGCGUUAAUCGGAAUUACUGGGCGUAAAGCGUGCGUAGACGGUUAUGUAAGUCGGGUGUGAAAGCCCCGGGCUCA